rnacentral:rRNA from 1 species
AUUGAACGCUGGCGGCAUGCCUUACACAUGCAAGUCGAACGGCAGCACGGGGCAACCUGGUGGCGAGUGGCGAACGGGUGAGUAAUGCAUCGGAACGUACCUUUCAGUGGGGGAUAACGUAGCGAAAGUUACGCUAAUACCGCAUAUUCUGUGAGCAGGAAAGCAGGGGAUCGCAAGACCUUGCGCUGAUUGAGCGGCCGAUGUCAGAUUAGCUAGGUGGUGAGGUAAAGGCUCACCAAGGCGACGAUCUGUAGCGGGUCUGAGAGGAUGAUCCGCCACACUGGAACGGAGACACGGUCCAGCCUCCUCCGGGAGGCAGCAGUGGGGAAUUUUGGACGAUGUGGGCAACCCUGAUCCAGCCAUGCCGCGUGAGUGAAGAAGGCCUUCGGGUUGUAAAGCUCUUUCGGCCGGGAAGAAAUCGCACGGGCUAAUACCCUGUGUGGAUGACGGUACCGGAAUAAGAAGCACCGGCUAACUACGUGCCAGCAGCCGCCGCGGUAA